CUAACACAUGCAAGUCGAGCGGUAGCACAGAGAGCUUGCUCUCGGGUGACGAGCGGCGGACGGGUGAGUAAUGUCUGGGAAACUGCCUGAUGGAGGGGGAUAACUACUGGAAACGGUAGCUAAUACCGCAUAAUGUCGCAAGACCAAAGUGGGGGACCUUCGGGCCUCAUGCCAUCAGAUGUGCCCAGAUGGGAUUAGCUAGUAGGUGGGGUAACGGCUCACCUAGGCGACGAUCCCUAGCUGGUCUGAGAGGAUGACCAGCCACACUGGAACUGAGACACGGU
rnacentral:rRNA from 1 species